ACGGCUCAGUAACACGUGGACAACCUGCCCAAAGGUCCGGGAUAACCCCGGGAAACUGGGGAUAAUACCGGAUAAAUCACAAGUACUGGAAGGUUUUGUGGUUGAAACUUCCGGGGCCUUUGGAUGGGUCUGCGGCUGAUUAGGUUGUUGCCGGUGUAACGUACCGUCAAGCCUGUAAUCAGUACGGGUUGUGGGAGCAAGAGCCCGGAGAUGGAUUCUGAGACACGAAUCCAGGCCCUACGGGGCGCAGCAGGCGCGAAAACUCUACAAUGCAGGCAACUGCGAUAGGGGAACAUCGAGUGAUACUCAUCUUGGGUGUCUGUCCUCCCGUCUAAAAAACGGGAGUUAGCAAGGGCCGGGCAAGACCGGUGCCAGCCGCCGCGGUAAUACCGGCGGCUCGAGUGGUGGCCGAUAUUAUUGAGUCUAAAGGGUCCGUAGCCGGCUUUGCAAGUCUUUUGGGAAAUCCAGCGGCUUAACCGUUGGGCGUCCGGGAGAUGCUACAUUGCUUGGGACUGGGAGAGGUAGGAGGUACUCAGGGGGUAGGAGUGAAAUCCUGUAAUCCUUUGGGGACCACCGGUGGCGAAGGCGUCCUACCAGAACAGGUCCGACGGUGAGGGACGAAAGCUAGGGGCACGAACCGGAUUAGAUACCCGGGUAGUCCUAGCCGUAAACGAUGCUCGCUAGGUGUCACAACAAUCGUGAAUUGUUGUGGUGCCGUAGGGAAGCCGUGAAGCGAGCCACUUGGGAAGUACGACCGCAAGGUUGAAACUUAAAGGAAUUGGCGGGGGAGCAC
rnacentral:rRNA from 1 species